GUGAUGGGUCGCCCCACCGCGGCGCGGAACGCAAGAACCGCGACGAGGAAAGUCCGGGCAACACAGAGCACCCUGCUUCCUAACGGGAAGGACUGGCGAGCAUAAUGCGAACCAGGACAGCCAGUGCCACAGAAAAUAACCGCCUCUUUUUAAGCUGUUAGCUGAAAGCUAUUAGCUGGUAGCCUUCGUUGAACGAAAAGCUGACAGCUCUCAGCUAGUAGCUAACAGCUCAGAAAAAGGUAAGGGUGAAAAGGUGCGGUAAGAGCGCACCAGCGGCUGGGUGACCAGUCGGCUGGGUAAACCUCAGGGGUUGAAAGACCAAAUAAGCCAGCACGUCGGCCCCGCUUCCAGGGGCUGGCACCGGGCGGCUCGUCCGGCGCUGGCGGGUAGGUUGAUGGAGCCUUUCGGCAACGACUGGCCUAGAUAAAUGGUGGGGCCACUUGCUUUCGGGCAGGCGGACAAAACCCGGCUUACAGACUCAUCACGCCA
rnacentral:RNase_P_RNA from 1 species